rnacentral:rRNA from 1 species
UACGAAGGGGGGCUAGCGUUGUUCGGAAUUACUGGGCGUAAAGCGCACGUAGGCGGACUAUUAAGUCAGGGGGUGAAAUCCCCGGGGGCUCAACCCCCGGAACUGCCUUUUGAUACUGGUAGUCUCGAGUCCGGAAGAGGUGAGUGGAAAUUCCGAGUGUAGAGGUGAAAUUCGUAGAUAUUCGGAGGAACACCAGUGGCGAAGGCGGCUCACUGGUCCGGUACUGACGCUGAGGUGCGAAGCGUGGGAGCAACAGG